UUCGGUUGCGCCCGGUUGCGGGUUGUCCUCUCGCGGAUGUCGGUCGGCACCGUUCCCGAGUUUCUCUAGGAAAUUUCGGCGUGAGGGGGCCUGGCCCCGCUGCGUGCGUGCCCGUGGGGUCCCCGGGCCAGGCAGCCAGGCAGGCAGGCGCUCGCGGACCGUUUUGGCUAUGGGCUUUGGGAGUGUUUUUGGUGGUAAUUCCGCGGUUGAACGUUCCGUCGAGGCGCCGGCCGUUGAUCGUCUCGCGUCCACCCAGACUUUUGGGGGUCGAGGGAAAUCCUCUGCUUUGUUCUCUGUAACCCAAGGACUUCUCACCAUAUCUACGGCUUUCUGCCUGGAGCUAGUCACCGUCACUGCCACUGCUUAGCCCGGAUUGCUGCAAGCAACAGCUCUCACCACUGUCCUUCGGCCACCUGUUUUCAACACUGCCUUUGGAAAGUUUGGCUUCUGUAAAAUGCAUAUUAAGACACAAGCCAGACUGUGAGAGUCAGAUGGGUUAAUAGGCAGUUAGGUAAGGUCCCUGUGAAAAUGGAAAAAGGGGACAAGGUCCCUUCAGAAGUCAGAGAAAACUGUUUGCCCCUCCUAGGCGUGGCCUGUAAUAGCACUUAGUUUGAUCCUAGGAAGACCCAGUGUUUGCUAAAGAUAGCCCAGAAAGGCUUCCCUGACCCUGGCAAUAAGCCAUGAGACUCACUACUUGCUGAUUGGUCAAUAAUUCCUAUCCUUGGUUCCCUGAGUGGUUACUAACCCCUGCCUGCAUAGGCCAAUUAGAGAUGCAUCUUUCCAUGAUCUUUGGCCCCUAAUUGGAUAUAGCUUUAUCCCUUUGAACUAGCCCGUCAAAAGCAGCACACCCUUUGGGGUGUCAUUUUGUGUGAUCCCAAGAGCCUGCACUUGCCAACUGUGAGGGCAGCUCUCCCCUUGGAAUGCCCCCCACACUCCAGGUCCCACCCUACUGCUGCAACAGAGAGUCCUGUCAAUAAAACUUCUGCUUUGCUCAC